AUCAUGAACACAAUAACAGGCAAGAGGAAGGGAGCAGAAUAGGAGAAUGAGAAAAUGGAGAGAUGAAUCAGAACGACCUUACACUUGUGUUAGCAAGCCCUGCUGGUGAAGAAGCUUGUUGUUAGAGAUGGCUGAAACUUCCCACUCCAGGAGAUUUCCUUACAGUGUAUCUUCCAGAGCUGUUGAUUCUCGAGAAGUAUUGGCUCGCUUUCAGGAAUCAGAGAUCUUGGGUGACUCAGUGGCAAUAGAGAUAUUAUUUCCAACCUCAUAAGAAGCAAGAAUUCACUGACUGGGCAAGAAAUUAAAGAUUUCCCUCCGAUACUUUCACUGGCAGAAUAUACCUCUUCACAUAAUUAGAAAACUGCAAAUAAUAAGCUAACAUUGUCAUGGCAUUUUCCUAUACUUGGCAUAUAGAAUAUCACGGUAACCCUAAGAACUUCCAAACAGCAAUUAUAAAGGUAGGUAAUGCUGAUCUUUUUUUAUUAGGUUAUUUUUCUUUUUGUGUUAUCAGUAGCUUGGGAAUACUUUUAUGGCGGGAGGGACAGAGAGAGAAUCCUUAAAGCCAGCUCUGUUACCUCUAUCCAAUACUGUAGUUGGGGGCAGAUGCAGAAGUUCCAUGAUCAGCAGCUGGAAUUCUAGGGGGGACUCAGCAACCAAGAGCUUAAGAACAGAGCUGAGCCCCAGCUAAAAUCUGAGGUGCUGCAGCAGC